GACGAACGCUGGCGGCGUGCCUAAUACAUGCAAGUUGAGCGCUGAAGGUUGGUACUUGUACCAACUGGAUGAGCAGCGAACGGGUGAGUAACGCGUGGGUAAUCUGCCUUUGAGCGGGGGACAACAUUUGGAAACGAAUGCUAAUACCGCAUAAAAACUUUAAACACAAGUUUUAAGUUUGAAAGAUGCAAUUGCAUCACUCAAAGAUGAUCCCGCGUUGUAUUAGCUAGUUGGUGAGGUAAAGGCUCACCAAGGCGAUGAUACAUAGCCGACCUGAGAGGGUGAUCGGCCACAUUGGGACUGAGACACGGCCCAAACUCCUACGGGAGGCAGCAGUAGGGAAUCUUCGGCAAUGGACGAAAGGCUGACCGAGCAACGCCGCGUGAGUGAAGAAGGUUUUCGGAUCGUAAAACUCUGUUGGUAGAGAAGAACGUUGGUGGGAGUGGAAAGCUCAUCAAGUGACGGUAACUACCCAGAAAGGGACGGCUAACUACGUG
rnacentral:rRNA from 1 species